rnacentral:hammerhead_ribozyme from 1 species
AUCCAGGUGAAGAGUCCUAAAUAGGACGAAACACGUGCCUUGGAU